rnacentral:rRNA from 1 species
GAUGAACGCUGGCGGCGUGCCUAAUACAUGCAAGUCGAGCGAACGGACGAGAAGCUUGCUUCUCUGAUGUUAGCGGCGGACGGGUGAGUAACACGUGGAUAACCUACCUAUAAGACUGGGAUAACUUCGGGAAACCGGAGCUAAUACCGGAUAAUAUUUUGAACCGCAUGGUUCAAAAGUGAAAGACGGUCUUGCUGUCACUUAUAGAUGGAUCCGCGCUGCAUUAGCUAGUUGGUAAGGUAACGGCUUACCAAGGCAACGAUGCAUAGCCGAACUGAGAGGGUGAUCGGCCACACUGGAACUGGGACACGGUCCAGACUCCUACGGGAGGCAGCAGUAGGGAAUCUUCCGCAAUGGGCGAAAGCCUGACGGAGCAACGCCGCGUGAGUGAUGAAGGUCUUCGGAUCGUAAAACUCUGUUAUUAGGGAAGAACAUAUGUGUAAGUAACUGUGCACAUCUUGACGGUACCUAAUCAGAAAGCCACGGCUAACUACGUG